CCUACGGGAGGAGGAAGGGGCGAAAACUUGAAACGGGGGGAAAAAGAGAGAAGGGAAGAGGGAGGGAAAGGUUACAAAGAUGGCUGUCGAGAUGCAUAAAAAGCAUUUCAGAGCAAGGGCCGGGCAAGACCGGUGCCAGCCGCCGCGGUAACACCGGCGGCUCGAGUGGUGGCCACUAUUACUGGGCUUAAAGCGUUCGUAGCUGGCCUGUUAAGUCUCUGGGGAAAUCUUCCGGCUUAACCGGAAGGCGUCUCAGGGAUACUGGCAGGCUAGGGACCGGAAGAGGUGAGAGGUACUCCAGGGGUAGGAGUGAACUCCUGUAAUCCUUGGGGGACCACCUGUGGCGAAGGCGCCUCACCAGAACGGCUCCGACAGUGAGGGACGAAAGCUGGGGGAGCAAACC
rnacentral:rRNA from 1 species